AGUUACCCAACUCCGCCAGGUUCGGAAGAAAGCAACGGUAAGUAUCCUUUAUAUGUGAUUUGGGUGUCUUGACAUUU
rnacentral:SRP_RNA from 1 species